rnacentral:rRNA from 1 species
AGUGAACGCUGGCGGUAGGCCUAACACAUGCAAGUCGAACGGCAGCACAGUAAGAGCUUGCUCUUACGGGUGGCGAGUGGCGGACGGGUGAGGAAUACAUCGGAAUCUACUUUUUCGUGGGGGAUAACGUAGGGAAACUUACGCUAAUACCGCAUACGACCUACGGGUGAAAGCAGGGGAUCUUCGGACCUUGCGCGAUUGAAUGAGCCGAUGUCGGAUUAGCUAGUUGGCGGGGUAAAGGCCCACCAAGGCGACGAUCCGUAGCUGGUCUGAGAGGAUGAUCAGCCACACUGGAACUGCGACACGGUCCAGACUCCUACGGGAGGCAGCAGUGGGGAAUAUUGGCCAAUGGGCGCAAGCCUGAUCCAGCCAUACCGCGUGGGUGAAGAAGGCCUUCGGGUUGUAAAGCCCUUUUGUUGGGAAAGAAAAGCAGCAGGUUAAUACCCCGCUGUUCUGACGGUACCCAAAGAAUAAGCACCGGCUAACUUCGUG